CUUGACCUCAAGGAGGAAAAAUGGUAUAACUGUCAAAGUGUUUACAAAAGGAACACAUCGCCAAAAACAACAAGAAUGGGUGAGGGCAAGAAUAGAUGUACCAAAUGCCAUAGAGGAAUCUGCAGUUUAAAUGAUCGUGCCCACAUCACCAAUAAAGAAGGUUUCUGAAACAAAGACUUCUCCAUGGAGAUCCAUUUUCUCUGUUAAGAGACAAAUAAUCAAAAAUGAAGCCUCAAAAACUGUUACGGUUAAUGGAACAACACAUUUAUUAGAUCAAUAACUCUUCAAGAAGAUAACCCAUGUACAUUGAUGUCACUCUUUAGACAGAACUUGCAGAACAAGAACAACAGAUAGGGAAUUCAAAUCAAAAUCUCCCAUUGUCUGUUGAAUGAGUUGCAAGAUAUGGAACUCUUAAUUCAAAAAAUACAGCCACUUCAAAUUCAAAUUAGUGGACACAUGGAAGCACUUAGGUCUACAAUUGCAAUAGGGCCAUUAAAGAACAAUCACUGGAUUCAAACUACAGGGACAUUACAGUUCAACUAUAAUCAGUAAUGAAACAACAUUAUCAGAAAGUGACAACCAUGCCUCCAGUCUCUCCUUCAAUGUACCAAAAGAUUAUCUCUUGGAGUAAAAUCCCAAUUAACAUUAUUACCACACAACAAGGAUCUGAAAUUCUCAGUCUGAACAUUGCAUUUACUGACAACAACCACAACACCAAUCUCAAAUGAGAAGAAGAUGGAUUCCAUACUGUAAUUUCAGCUCUAUUUAUCAACUCAAAAUUUUUUGUAUACUUCUGAAAAUUAAUUAUUCCCAAUAGUUAUGUAAAAUUCUGAGGAAAAAAAAUGUUUUCGAAGUAUACACUCUCCUUCCUUUUUAUAUAUGGUUAUAACAAAUAUCAUUCCAAUUUUUAGAAAAAAAACGUUUGUUUUUUUUAAAAUUUUUAUCGUAAAGGAUUUAAACAAAAAUAUAUUCAAAAUGUGAAAGAACAUUUAAGCUUUUGUUGUGCAGCAAUAUUGCUUGUUGUGUGUACAUGUAUAUUAUAUGAAUUUUGCAAACAUUUUCCAUUUGUUACAAAUUAAGACAUGGUUAAACCUUAUCUGCAAUUUUUUGAUACAAUUGUUUGUCCAUUAUUGUUAUCGAUGAACAAUUUUGUGACAUGAUUACUAUUAAAGAAGUAUUGUUAUGGUUAUUAACAUCUUGCAGAUUGGAUUGUGCUUGUAUUUAAUUCAUACCUGAUGUACAUGUGUUGGUUUUUAGUUUGUUUUAUUUUUUUAUCUUAUUACAUGUUGAAACCAAUCUCCAGCACCAUUAAAUUUCAUAUUUAAUUUUCUAGGCCAGCAAACAGAUUUUUGUAAUAUUUAUCACACUUAACUACAUUUUUUUAUUGAAGAAAAUAUGUUUUCCUUCAUCCUAAAGACCCUCUACUUUUUUUUCAUUUCUUUUUUCAGUGUCAAAUAAUGUUUUACAUUACCAUUGUAAGCAUUUCUAACUUUGUAUUCAUUGUGAAAUUCUUUGCAAUAAAACUUGUUAAAUCUCUUAAAUUUCUUUCCACUUUUACCUCUACAAAUAACUUAAGACCUGCAUGCAUUGUGCAAAUUACUCUUAAUUCCCUUUACAAUAUAAAUUAAGAUAUAAACGAAAUUAUAAAUGCAUGGCUAAUAAAAUGAAUAUAAAUGUUUUCACCUGCACAAAACAUCAAUGUUAAUCUGAGAUAACCUAGAACAUUGUUUAUGAAACCAAUAAUUACCUUUUUGCAAAUAUUUUAAAAAUUGAAACCUUUCAUUUUCCAGUAAACAUGGUAAGGCUGUCAAAUCCAACAAAAAAUGGUACACCUUCAUUCUUUGACAUACUUUAUAGAUUUUCUCUUUCCUUUAAUUGUUGUUCAACAGCGUAGAAAAUGUGGUACAGCAAUAACUAAAAAUUUGCAGGUUGUGAGUUUGAAUCCCGCUGGGACUUUCAUUGUAUAAAUUUUUGCCUUAUCCCAUUUCUUUUUCAAAUAGUGUUCAAUUUCAAAAUUCUAAAACAGAGAAAGUAUAUCUCAUGUACAUUACAUAUUAUUAGAUUUAACAGAUGUUCCUUAAUACAGUAACAAACAGCAAAU